AUGUCCCAUCCAUCCUCCUGCCCGCCGCCACCUACCUGCCUUCUAUCUCUCGGGAUCCAUCCCGCCGCCACCUGGUCUGCCCUUGGUUCCAAUGCCGACCAAUCCCCACCGGAUUCCUUCGAUCCAACCAUGCACCGAUCCAUCCAACCACCACAGCAAGCUUCUUCCCCGAGUUCCCCGCUCCCAUGUGUGUCCAGCACCAAGGAGAGGAGCUCCUCCAGCCCCCGAUCCAACGCGCAGGCGCUCGAGCGCCUCCUCAUCUCGUCCCCGCGCCGCUCGUCGCCAGAAGCCAGCAGGAGGAGCCCCGCCUCCGCUCGAGGGCCUCGCACGACCUUGCACACCUCCACCGGCCGGCGACCUCACCUGAACCUCGUCGGCGAGCAGCCCGCCAGGAUAGUCCAGUCCGCUCGUCCUAGCCUCCUCUAUGCCCCACCCGCGCCCGAGCUUCCCCAGCCGUGCGCCUCCUCCCUCUUCCAGCGGAGUCCCUUCCUCCCCGUGUAA
rnacentral:rRNA from 1 species